UACUUCAGGCCCCGCCCCUGGUCGCGAUGAUUGAAACAUGAGUAACACGUGUCAAUGUGUAGGGAAGGAGCUGCAGAUGCUGGUUUAAACGAAAUACAAGGAACUACAGAUGCUCGAAUCUUGUGUGAAACAUGAAGCGCUGCAAGAAUUCGGCAGAGCCACUCUGCUGCCGUUAUGGUCCCGCAGGAGACGCGAUGAGAAGGUGGCCAGCAGGAGGCAACAAAAUGAGAAAAUCACAAAAGGGAUCUACCAAGGAAGUUAAUAAUAUAAACGCCCCCCAACUAUCCAGAGUCCUGAGGUACGGAUGCACCGUAAUAAAUAAAGGUACUAAAAUCAGAGAAAAUGCAAGAUGAUAAACAAAAGAAAAUGGGAGGAAUCACACUGUGUAGCUGGAAUAUAAGGGGUAUUAAUGAACCAAUUAAAAGGGGCAAAAUACUAGCUCAGUUGAAAUCAUAUAACACGGACAUUUCUUUUCUACAGGAAACGCAACUUAAACAUCAAGAUCAGAUGAGAUUCAGGGCGAAAUGGAUAGGCCAAACAUUUCACUCCUCAUACACAUCGAAAUCCAGAGGCACCGCAAUUAUUAUUCGCAAAGGAAUACCAUUCAAAUCAAAGAAUAUUAUAUCAGAUAAGGAAGAGAGAUACCUUAUAGUCACAGGAGAGAUUUAUGCUACGCCAAUCACUUUGGUAAACAUAUAUGCGCCUAAUUUUGAUAAUCCUCAAUUUUUUAAUAAAAUCCUGAAUAAAAUCGCAGAAUUUAACUACCAAAAUGUUAUAAUUGGAAGAGACUUCAACUGUGCUUUAGAUCUGUACUUGGAUAAAUCAAUGCAAAAACAAAGAGGUAAUAUGAAAUCUAAAACUAGUGAACUCUUAAAUACAUAUAUAAAAAAUACAAAUAUAGCAGACGUUUGGAGAAUCGCGAAACUGACUGGAAAGGAAUACUCGUUUUAUUCAAUGGUACAUAAAACAUACUCACAUAUAGACUAUCUCCUAAUGGAUUCAAAACUAAUUCCUUAUACUCUUAACCCUAAAUACCACACCAAUACGAUUUCAGAUUAUUCCCCGCUAUCUUUUGUUUUAAAACCGGAAGGAAUCUCUAUGAACAAAUCAUUCUGGAGGUUUAACUCGCAAAUUUUGAAAGACCCACAAGGGAGUAUAUAUCUAAAAAAAACAAAUGGAUCUAUUUUUUGAGAUAAAUGAUACACCAGAUAUUUUGCCCACUUUAUUAUGGGAAUCCCUCAAAGCAUUUAUUAGAGGAGUCAUUAUCUCAUAUCAAGCUUUUCAAAACAAAAAGAAUAAAAAUGAACAAAGACAAUUAGAAGAACAAAUCAGACAACUAGAUAUAGAUAAUGCUAAAUAUCCAACUAUGGAUAAACAUAAUAACAUUUUAAUACUGAAAUUUAAGCUAAAUAAAUUAUUAUCAGAGAAGAUUAUAAGAUUAUUCCAAAUUACAAAACAAGAACAUUUCGAAUUUGGGAUAAACCCCAUAAACUUUUGGCACGCCAACUGAAAAAACGGGAAAAAGAUCAUGCAAUUUGAAAGAUUAAAUCAGAUAGAGGGGAAUUAUUAACACUACCUAAUGAUAUCAAUAAAAGAUUUUCUCAAUAUUAUAAGAAUUUAUACACAUCGAAAACGCUAAUAGACAAUAAUAAAGUUUCAGAAUUUUUGAACGAUUGUAACCUCCCAAAACUAGAAUUGAAGGAACAAGAGGAACUGGGAGCACAAAUUACAGCUAAGGAAAUAGAAGACACAAUAAACACACUUAAGAAUGGAAAAACACCAGGACCAGACGGAUUCAGUAAUGAAUUUUAUAAAUGUUUUUACGACACAGUGACCCCACGUCUACAGAAAAUGUAUACAUUCGCUUUUAAAGAACAAACCUUACCUGAAACACUAGCAGAAUCAACGAUCACACUAAUACUUAAAAAAGAUAAAGAUAUAGAAGAACCAGGAUCAUACAGAGCAAUUGCUUUGUUAAAUACGGAUCAAAAAAUAUUAGCGAAAAUACUAGCUAGAAGACCAAGUCAAUAUGUCAGUAAAUUAAUAAAUAAGGAUCAGACGGGAUUUAUACCUAAGAGACACUCAUUUAAUAACCUGAGACGUCUGCUUAACAUAAUGCACUCUCACAAAUCUCAAGAACAAGAGUUAUCUAUCAUUUCAUUGGACGCAGAAAAAGCGUUUGAUCAAGUAGAAUGGGAUUAUAUGUUUAAAGUAUUGCAAAAAUUUCAAAUGGGAGAGAGCUUCAUCGCAUGGAUAAAAUUAUUAUAUAACAAACCCACGGCUAGAAUAUUAACUAAUAAUAUACUAUUGUGGCGGCUCCUAAGGGUCGUCCCAUUAUACUGCCGAACCCCUCGGCACAGGAGUGGUGCAGUCCGGAGGCGGUCCUUAGCCGGAGGGUAUAAAAGGCAGGGUUUGGGUGCCAUCUUUCCCUGGUUUCGUCUUCCCCUGAACCGGGAGGAAAUAAAGAAAAGUGCUUCUCAAACUGCGGACUACUUGCCUCAUUUUGAGACCCACGCACUACAUUGGUGACCCCGACGUGUCGAUUGACCGUUUAAAGCCGGCGCACCUGGACAUUGACCAGCCGGUGCUGGUUGCUCAACCUCGGCCCCGAGGGCGUCCCCCCUCACGACUCCCUCCACCUGUCACUCCACCUGUCCUCCCGCCGGCCCCUCGACCUGUCCCUCCACCUACGCCCCCGCAAGCCCCGGGAUCUGCUGAC